rnacentral:rRNA from 1 species
GACAGAGGUGCCGAGCGUUAGGCGGAAUCACUGGGCUUAAAGCGUGUGUAGGCGGACUUCUAAGUACCUUGUGAAAUCCCACGGCUUAACCGUGGAACUGCUUGGUAUACUGGUUGUCUUGGGCCAUCUAGGGGCUAGCGGAACAAACGGUGGAGCGGUGAAAUGCGUAGAUAUCGUUUGGAACGCCAAUGGUGAAAACAGCUAGCUGGGGAUGUGCCGACGCUGAGACACGAAAGCCAGGGGAGCGAACGGG